rnacentral:rRNA from 1 species
AUUGAACGCUGGCGGCAGGCCUAACACAUGCAAGUCGAGCGUGAAAGUCCUUCGGGAUGAGUAAAGCGGCGGACGGGUGAGUAAUGCUUAGGAAUCUGCCUAUUAGUGGGGGACAACAUCUCGAAAGGGAUGCUAAUACCGCAUACGUCCUACGGGAGAAAGCAGGGGAUCAAUUGUGACCUUGCGCUAAUAGAUGAGCCUAAGUCGGAUUAGCUAGUUGGGGGGGUAAAGGCCUACCAAGGCGACGAUCUGUAGCGGGUCUGAGAGGAUGAUCCGCGAGACUGCGACAGAGCAGCGGCCCAGACUCCUACGGGAGGAAGCAGUGGGGAAUAUUGGAGAAGGGGGGGACGCCUGAUCCAGCCAUGACGCGUGUGUGAAGAAGGCCUUAUGGUCGUAAAGCGCUUUAAGCGAGGAGGAUGCUCUUUUGGUUAAUACCCAGGAUGGGUGGACGGUACUCGCAGAAUAAGCUCCGGCUAACUUUGUGCCAGCCGCCGCCGUAA